GUGAGAGAAGGGGAGGUGUGUGUGUGUGUGGGGGGGAUAUUGUGUGUGUUUUAACGGACUCUGCAGAGAACACUGUAACCAACUUUUGAGAGAAUGAGGCUGUAAAAAUUUCAGUACGGCAUUUGUCUAAUUAUCUUAGACCCAGAGUAACUUUAGUUCUCUUUUGAAUCCUAGUUUUUUCAUGUAUAUAUAUAUAGUACUACUACCUUUCAGGAUAGUUUUGAGAACUAGAGCAUAUAUAAAGGCAGCUUACUUGUUGUCAGUGCCAUUGUCAUCAUCAUCAUCAGGAUUACAGGCAGAAGCCCAUCUUUGUUUCGCUUGAGAGGUGGAAGGUCUUCAAUAGUGCUGUGUUUUCCUGUGGUUCUGCAGAGGCCUCUCCCCUUCCCCAUCCAGAGCCUACUUCCCUUUGCUUGCGAAUUAAGACAUCUGCUGCAAGGAACCAGGACAGUGGGUAGCCAUCCUAUACUUUUGUUUAAAGGGGAGCGUGUUAACAAGGAGCAAUUCCAGUGGAUAUUCUCAAAUUGUGUAACUGCCCUGAAGGAAAACAAGAGCUGCAAAAAUAAUGUUAGGGAGGAGCCCCUGAAGAAAGGCUGUGGGGAGGCCUUCCUGCGGAGGGGCUAAGAGUUGGGACCUGGAGGCUGAGAAGGUACCAGCCACGCAGCAGGCCUAGCGUCCGGGCAAAGGCAGGGAGAGGGGAAGAGCUCACCUUGAGGAGGUGAAGGGACACUGGUCUUUGGGGGCAGUGAGCCCUGGGAGGAGCUGGAGAAGAUUUUGGGGGGGCUGGGGAGACAGAGGUGCUUCUGGCACUCCCAUGACCGUGCCCAGGCUGCUGAGGGCACAAAGAGCAGGAUUUUUUUUUUAAAUCUCAAUACCCAGGGUUCAUUGUCUUGCCGCUUCGAAGAAUGAAGAGGUGGACACAAAAUAAAAUGAACAGCGGGCAAAGGUUUUCAGAGUUUAAGAUUAGAAAGUAAGAACAGUAUGGAAGCUCUCUUUACAGAGAGAGGGCAUUCGAAAGUGAAUGCCCGCAGACUGUAGGCAAGGGUCCUUGUUUUAUAAGGUUCUGGUUGGCACCCCCUCCCCUUCUCCCUUGUUCCUUCUCAGGUUCUGCCCUCAUUGGCUGGACAACUCUAGGUGCUGGGUUGUCUAUUCCCGAUUGACUCGAUUCCAUCGUGUGAGGAGUCAGACUAUGGUCAUACUCAUACUGUCCCUCAUAUAACAUAAGCUUCGUGGUUUGCUUAUUUUAGUUAGGUAUCUCGAUUGUCAAAUUCCUGAGGGGAACCUGAGGGGGAGUAGGUGGUAUCUGUUAACAUUCUUAAGAGGAAACUUACACCUGAGGGGGUUUGCUGUGGUCAAAUCCUCCCAGCAUUGUUCCAAAAUACGUGUUUUCCCCCCUGCCAGGGACCUCAGGUCCUAAUCUUUCCCUCUAUUUUAUCCUAUUUUUCCCUGUCAUAGAUGCAGGAGAGCAGUCAGCAGUUUAUUGCAUUAAUGCCGCUGAGGGAUGAUGGUUUCUUGGACCAGAAUGGUGGCAGGAGAGGGAGAGGAGGGUGGCUGUUCAGGUUGGAGAGAUCUGUCAGGAAUGAACUGGACUGUACCCGCACUCCGCACCCUGGGUUGUCCCUGGUAGGCGGCUGGCAGAUGGCACACUCUAAAGUGAAGCACCCGGGAUCCGGAAGAGUGAGAAGCCAUUACCACCUUUAUGCCUGAACAAGCAAGGAGAGGAAGCUGUUUUCCCAAGGUACGGAGGCUUCUACAAUGUGAUCUGGUUGGUCUUUGGUGAUCCCUAACAGCCGGAGAAGGAAUAAGCAGUGAUCCAGAGAAGAGUGUGAGAGAUGCAGGUCUAAAGAGCAUCUGAAACACUGGAUUGGUGAUCCUCAACUUGCUGGGGAGGAUUUGAAAGAGCACCAAUGCCUGGGCCCCACACCAGAACAGUUACGGCGGGGUCUUUGCGGUGGGUCCACCAUGGAGAUGUUUUAAAAGCUUCCAGGUGAGAGAGAAAGACAAAUACUGCUUGGCACCUCUUAGUUGUGGAAGCUAAGAACAAAGUCGUCCUCACAGAAACAGAGUAGAAUGGUGGUAGCCAAUGCUGGGAGGUGGGGGAGAGGCAGAGAUAUUGGUCAUGGGGAACUUAUAACUUUCAGUUAUAAGUUAAGUGAGUUCUGGGGAUCUAAUGUGCAGCAUGGUGACUACGGUUAAUAAUACUGUAUUGUAUGCUACAAAUUUGCUAAAAGAGUGGAUCUCAAGCACAGAGGUAACUAUGUGAGGUGAUGGAUGUGUGAAUUAACUUGAUUGUGGUAAUUAUUCCAGAAUGUAUACAUGUAUGAAGCCAUUACAUUAUAUGCUUUACCUAUAUCCAAUUUUGCUUGUCAAUUUAACCUCCAUAAAGUUUGGGGAGAAAGAAAGCCUCCAAAUGAUUCUUUUAUGCAGCCAGGGCUGCAAACCACUGGCCUGGAGGAGUAAACAUGGCUGUGGCAUUUGCUGAAGAGAGUUUCAUACAGUCUUGAUUGUAGCAAUGCCAUGCACUUGGAACCAGUCUAAGUUUUUUUGUGACAAACAAGCAGAGAAGCUUUGCUCCAAGGCUAUAAUCCACUUCUUCUCUCACAGAUGUAUGGAAGAAAUAACCCCAAAGAGUCCGUGUGGCCUGGAAAACUUCAGAAGAGAACAGGACUUUGGGACCUGGAGAUUCUCAUUUGAUUCCCUAUACUUUUUCUGUUGUCAGUGGGGCAGGCAGGAUUUAUGAUGUCUGCAGUAGGGCUAAGAGGAUUUGAAACUUGAUUAUUUGAGGUAUCAGGGUAUUCAAGAGAGAAAUCUCAAGUUCCCAGAUGCAGAUGUUCUUGGUAUGGGAAUCACAUUUGGAGAACUGUUGGUUCAUUAUCCUAAGAUCAUUCUGUCUUAGGUUUCCUAAUGACAGAUCACUUUGAGGCAACUGAGGCAUCACUGAAAUGUAUUUCUCAGAUGAGAAGGGAGAUAAACAGCAAUCCACUCUGCUCACUCGGCCUUUCUUCAUCCUCUCCAUCAACUUAAGAGUUGCUUCCUGGAACCAGGCUAGGAGCAAGGACUAGGGCUUGAUGUAUACUUUGGCCCAUCAUUUUAUUUCAGUAGAUUUACAAAGUAUUUCCCAUCCGAUAUCUCAUAUAGUUCUCUAGAAAACAAGAUGCUCCAUUCUCCUGCUUCUUCUGUUUACUCAUGCCAUUUACUCAUGGCAUUUCUUCUGCCA